GUAGGGAAUAUUGGGCAAUGGUCGGAAGACUGACCCAGCCAUGCCGCGUGCAGGAAGACGGCCCUCUGGGUUGUAAACUGCUUUUAUCUGGGAAGAAAAAGGCCAUGCGUGGCAAAUUGCCGGUACCAGAUGAAUAAGCACCGGCUAACUCCGUGCCAGCAGCCGCGGUAAUACGGAGGGUGCGAGCGUUGUCCGGAUUUAUUGGGUUUAAAGGGUGCGUAGGCGGCUGAUUAAGUCAGCGGUGAAAGACUUCGGCUUAACCGGAGCAGUGCCGUUGAUACUGGUUGGCUUGAGUGUCGGAGGGGUACAUGGAAUUGAUGGUGUAGCGGUGAAAUGCAUAGAUACCAUCAGGAACACCGAUAGCGAAGGCAUUGUACUGGCCGACAACUGACGCUGAUGUACGAAAGUGUGGGGAUCGAACAGGAUUAGAAACCCUAGUAGUCC
rnacentral:rRNA from 1 species